rnacentral:rRNA from 1 species
UACAGAGGUCUCAAGCGUUGUUCGGAUUCAUUGGGCGUAAAGGGUGCGUAGGCGGCGCGGUAAGUCGGGUGUGAAAUUUCGAGGCUUAACUUCGAAACUGCAUUCGAUACUGCCGUGCUAGAGGACUGGAGAGGAGACUGGAAUUUACGGUGUAGCGGUGAAAUGCGUAGAUAUCGUAAGGAAGACCAGUGGCGAAGGCGGGUCUCUGGACAGUUCCUGACGCUGAGGCACGGAGGCCAGGGGAGCAAACGGG